GUAAUGGCCUACCAAGGCGACGACGGGUAGCCGACCUGAGAGGGUGACCGGCCCACUGGGACUGAGACACGGCCCAGACUCCUACGGGAGGCAGCAGUGGGGAAUAUUGCACAAUGGGCGGAAGCCUGAUGCAGCGACGCCGCGUGAGGGAUGAAGGCCUUCGGGUUGUAAACCUCUUUCAGCAGGGACGAAGCGUGAGUGACGGUACCUGCAGAAGAAGCACCGGCUAACUACGUGCCAGCAGCCGCGGUAAUACGUAGGGUGCGAGCGUUGUCCGGAAUUACUGGGCGUAAAGAGCUCGUAGGCGGUUUGUCACGUCGUCUGUGAAAUCCUAGGGCUUAACCCUGGACGUGCAGGCGAUACGGGCUGACUUGAGUACUACAGGGGAGACUGGAAUUCCUGGUGUAGCGGUGAAAUGCGCAGAUAUCAGGAGGAACACCGGUGGCGAAGGCGGGUCUCUGGGAAACAACUGACGCUGAGGAACGAAAGCGUGGGUAGCAAACAGGAUUAGAUACCCUGGUAGUCCAUGCCGUAAACGGUGGGCGCUAGG
rnacentral:rRNA from 1 species